UACGUAGGGAGCAAGCGUUGUCCGGAAUCAUUGGGCGUAAAGCGCGCGUAGGUGGCCAUGUAAGUUCGCUGUGAAAGUCCAAGGCUCAACCUUUGAAAGCCGGUGGAUACUGUGAGGCUAGAGUACGGAAGAGGCGAGUGGAAUUCCUGGUGUAGCGGUGGAAUGCGCAGAUAUCAGGAGGAACACCAAUAGCGAAGGCAGCUCGCUGGGACGUUACUGACACUGAGGCGCGAAAGCGUGGGGAGCGAACAGG
rnacentral:rRNA from 1 species